CAGCCGCCACGGUAAUACGAAGGGGGCUAGCGUUGUUCGGAUUUACUGGGCGUAAAGCGCACGUAGGCGGAUCGAUCAGUCAGGGGUGAAAUCCCAGAGCUCAACUCUGGAACUGCCUUUGAUACUGUCGAUCUGGAGUAUGGAAGAGGUGAGUGGAAUUGCGAGUGUAGAGGUGAAAUUCGUAGAUAUUCGCAGGAACACCAGUGGCGAAGGCGGCUCACUGGCUCGAUACUGACGCUGAGGUGCGAAAGCGUGGGGAGCAAACAGGAUUAGAUACCCCGGUAGUCCCUGUCUCUUAUAC
rnacentral:rRNA from 1 species